UGAAGAAGGCCUUCGGGUUGUAAAGUUCUUUCGUGGAGGACGAAAAGGUGGGUGCUAAUAUCGCCUGCUGUUGACGUGAAUCCAAGAAGAAGCACCGGCUAACUCCGUGCCAGCAGCCGCGGUAAUACGGGGGGUGCAAGCGUUAAUCGGAAUCACUGGGCGUAAAGGGUGCGUAGGCGGUGCAUUAGGUCUGUCGUGAAAUCCCCGGGCUCAACCUGGGAAUGGCGGUGGAAACCGGUGUACUAGAGUAUGGGAGAGGGUGGUGGAAUUCCAGGUGUAGCGGUGAAAUGCGUAGAGAUCUGGAGGAACAUCAGUGGCGAAGGCGGCCACCUGGCCCAAUACUGACGCUGAGGCACGAAAGCGUGGGGAGCAAACAGGAUUAGAUACCCUGGUAGUCCACGCCCUAAACGAUGAAUACUAGAUGUUUGGUGCCACGCGUACUGAGUGUCGUAGCUAACGCGAUAAGUAUUCCGCCUGGGAAGUACGGCCGCAAGGUUAAAACUCAAAUGAAUUGACGGAUU
rnacentral:rRNA from 1 species